CCUACGGGGGGCAGCAGUGAGGAAUAUUGGUCAAUGGCCGAGAGGCUGAACCAGCCAAGUCGCGUGAGGGAUGACGGCCCUACGGGUUGUAAACCUCUUUUGUCGGGGAGCAAAGCGAGUCACGUGUCCCUCCUUGAGAGUACCCGAAGAAAAAGCAUCGGCUAACUCCGUGCCAGCAGCCGCGGUAAUACGGAGGAUGCGAGCGUUAUCCGGAUUUAUUGGGGUUAAAGGGUUCGCAGGCGGAGGGGAAAGUCAGAGGUCAAAUUGCGGGGUGAAACCGCGUACUGCAGUUGAAACUGCGUGUCUGGAGUGCGCGAGAGGUACGCGGAAUGCGUGGUGUAGCGGUGAAAUGCAUAGAUAUCACGAAGAACUCCGAUUGCGAAGGCAGCUUACCGGCGCGCAACUGACGCUCAUGCACGAAAGCGUGGGUAUCGAACAGGAUUAGAUACCCUAGUAGUC
rnacentral:rRNA from 1 species